CAUAGAAGCUUAGAGCAUGAAGGAAUAUAAUUUAAUCAUCAGCCUCAACAAUUGCACUUCUUUUUUAAUCAUGAAUUUAUUGUUACAUGCAGGUCAAGCAUUAGUGACAGUGGCAUCGGGAUGAUAUGCAAUGUGUUUCCUGAAACAUUAUUAAGACUCCUACUUGCCCUUUGUCCUAACAUCUCUUCAAGUGGAAUUCAGUUUGCCACAGCUCAGCUGCCUCUUCUUGAACUCAUGGACUGUGGUAUGAGUGUAUGUGAUAGUAAUGACGAAAGCCUCAUCUCUGAUGAAGCCAUCAACCAUGGGAUGGAGAAAAGGCCCAACAGCAAUCUUCACCUCAUACACCAGAAGCUUAUUAUAAAGCACACUAAAUUAAAAAAACUCAGCUUGUGGGGUUGUAGUGGCUUAGAUGCCUUGUAUUUGAACUGCCCAGAGUUGAAUGACCUGAAUCUCAAUGCCUAUAAAAAUUUGCUGACUGGUCAACAAUGAUUCUUUUCCCGUGGAAAACCAUUUGCCCUUUAAACGUCUGGUUGAUGGUUCCAAGAGAGUUCGGGUUCCCCAUUUUCUGUGCCAACAGCAAUUUGAUGUUGAUAAGAAGCAGAGAACGAGGCCGCCGUGUAAUGUGCUUGCAGAAUGAUUAUACAUGUGGAUAGUUUUGACAAUUGACAUGGUGAUAGCUUCACUUGUUUGAUGUCAUAUUACUGCUGAGGCAAGGCCCUCUAGACUGACUUCUUGCGGGUUCCCAACAUUAUUGCCGGUUGCUGAUGCCUUGUAGAAUUCCUUUAGGCAUUGUGUGGCCCCCUGGUCACCAUACUAGAAAAUACUCUGAAGCUUAGCUUCAGCUGCAUAACUUCAUCAUUCUAAAAUAAAGUUAUCAACCUAUGUAAUUUCUGUGCAAACGGUCUUUGUAUCAGGAGUUUCAUGGAAAGACUGUAAUUUACUGAGAAUUUAUAUUAGAGCAUGAACUGUUGCUGCUAACAUUCAUGUACUUGAUAUCAGAGGUUAGAAGGAACUUCGCAAGGCUGAGUUUGUGGUAGAUAUACCAGGUUUCAGCCAUGGAUUACAUACAGUUUGCACUGUGCCAGUUGUGAUUACGACGCACAUGGUUAUCUUGACUAGUAGGAGGCCAAGCUGUAAUAAAUUUUUGCAGCACAUUCGCAACUAUUUUUAUAGUUUGUUGCUAAUUUGCGAUGAAUUAAUAAAAAUUCGUCGCUAAAUUCGUUCCGGAACAA